GGUGACAGGUGCUGCAUGGCUGUCGUCAGCUCGUGUCGUGAGAUGUUGGGUUAAGUCCCGCAACGAGCGCAACCCUCGCCUUUAGUUGCCAUCAUUGAGUUGGGCACUCUAAAGAGACUGCCGGUGUCAAACCGGAGGAAGGUGGGGAUGACGUCAAGUCCUCAUGGCCUUUAUGACCAGGGCUACACACGUACUACAAUGGCCGGUACAAAGGGCAGCGACACAGCGAUGUGAAGCGAAUCCCGAAAAGCCGGUCUCAGUCCGGAUUGGAGUCUGCAACUCGACUCCAUGAAGUUGGAAUCGCUAGUAAUCGCGGAUCAGCACGCCGCGGUGAAUACGUUCCCGGGCCUU
rnacentral:rRNA from 1 species